GGAAACGCCUUAUACUAAAACUUAAAAAUUUGCACAAAACCAAACAAAAAAGCCUCGAGCAACCAUUCCAGUCUCUCGUCAUCUCACUCGUUCUCUCCUUUCUUCCAUUCGGUUGUAGAACGUAAGUUCGAAGAUAUGAGUGAACUAUUAGCAGGACGGCGAGCAGCGGGCAGGCCUAGUACGUGAAUGCGAAAUGUCAAAUUGAACUACAGUUACCCAUUGUCAACUUUCUGCUAUGGCAAUUCGUACACUUCAAAUUUGAUCUGAUGCAAGAAACACUUUAUCUCAUGGUGACAUUGUUAGACCAAUAUCUUUCUGAAGUCCCAAUUAAGAAGAAUGAAAUGCAAUUAAUUGAUCUUACUGCACUCUUGUUGGCAUCAAAGUAUGAGGACUUUUGGCAUCCAAGGGUAUAUAUCAGUAUCUCAACUUGCAUGACUUUUUUUAUAGGAUUAAAUACUUGUUACUCCCUGUACUUUGCUCCA